UUUGCCCUGCUGCUCCCUGCUCUGGUUUACCUGAAUGGGGGUGAGGGGGUGGGAAUGAGACAGUGAGAGCCUGGGAAAGGGGAAUCUUUUCGGGGUUCAAUUACUUAUCUAGGAUCAAGUUCUGGAUCAAAGUAAAAUUCUGACUUAUCCAGGUAGGCAGAAUUCUGACUCCUAUCUUCUCUCUGCUUCAUUAGAGUUUUCUAGACAAACCCCUUGGGUGUGUAUAUGUGAGGGAGGAACCCUAGCUACAAAGCGAGGGGCGAAUGGUCACGCCAGCACCCCGCACCGGCCUGAGCCUGACCCGACAGCAGUGGCUGCUGGCAAGGCUUUUGAUUUCUGACCCGCGGGGUCACAGGUCACUCUCCUGGGAGCAGAGCACUUCCGGGGUCACAAAGACAGUCCCUGUCUCCCACACCCAGAUCAUUUGUUCUGUCCCCACCGCAUGGCAUAUACAUCCACCAUGUGGGGGAGAUGUGACGAGCAAGAGACAAAAAGACAGACGUAUUGCCGCUCCGGAGCGCAGCAGAUGGCCAACACUGCCUUUCUCAACCAGAAUGCACAGCCAGUAUUAGACUGUAUUUACUGCAAAUAUUGUGCCGUGUUGGGUCUAAGGGAGCCAGGGUAAUAGAAAGGAAUGAAGUCAAUCCACCUGCCUCAUCUUUGACUAGAGGUUGUUUAUAGCCGAAAUUGCGUUUGUGGGACUGAGCCAGGCCUUUAUUGCUGGUUUUCUGAUGGGUAACAGUAGCAGUUCUCAAGCAGCUGUGACAUUCCGACAUCUGUGACUCAGGGCUUUGCUAUUAAUAGCCUGGGUGUCUCAGCCUGUGAGCAAGGGCUAAGUCCCCGCCAACCCCUGAGUCGUCUUUUCUAUGACACACACUUCACCCACACAACUAACUCCCUGCCUCCACUGCAGCCCGGGAGGGUGGCGUUCUUCCCAAGUCAGAGGCCAGCUGGGGGAUAAACACUGAGGAACCUUUAAGCAGCUUCUCUACCCUCCAUUCACAACUAUGAGCCAAGCACGAGAGCAACACGACCUCCAAUCCAGAGGGAUGGGCAGGGUUGACUAUGGAGAUGAGCCCUUUACGUUCCCAAAUUUCCAUGGCCUCCGAGACCUUAAGGAGAUGCUGACGAGCAGAAAUCAACCUCGGAGAGCUGGAGUUGGUUUGGUGCUGUGAGCCUAGCAGAAUGAAGCCCACAGUUGUCUGCAAGUGACCAAAGGACAGAAACCAUUUUGUUGGAGAGAAAAGCUUGGUUAGCAUACAGCCACUCUUGGCAAAACUUCAAGAGCACAUCAUUUCAAUAGAAGCCGUGCCAAUGAGGAGGGAAAUGUUACAACCUGAACACAAGCAACCUAACAGAAUCCACUUCCUCAUGGCUCUCUGUCUUCAACAGAGCCAAAAACUGCCUACUGCUUGUGCACCUGUAGGACAGGAGGUUCUGGACCCAAGGUUUACAGGUAACCCACCUCCCUCCGUGCCAUUGGCAAAAGAGCACUCCGUAUCCUUUCUAGCAGAAUUCAGCUGAAAGAAAACUCAAGAAUGAGUUCCUUAUUUGCUUUCUAUUUAAUGUUUACAUCUGUCAACCUCACUGUGACAUUUAUGGAGCAUCUACUGCAUGCCAAGUACUGGGAUGGCAGUACGAGAACAAGAGAGAAAACGCUGCUCUGGAGUUAACAUCUCGUGGAGGAGAUGCAUAUGCACGAAUAUUCUCAAGGAAAUUAGGGAGGUGCUAGGACAGAAGAAGGGUGUGCAGGGUUCAGGGCAGGGCUGAGUCCAACGGGGAGCCAGGACGGACUUCCAGGAGGAGAGAGAAGGCAGGUGAGGGCUGCCAAGUUAAGACGUGGGAAAAGAUCAUUCCACGUGGAGGUUGUGGGGUAAGAAGGUACCACGUAGUUUAUUGUUCAUGGGAUACAGGGAGAUGCUCAAGCUAAGGGCAAGAUGGUUGGUCACGGAGGGCUCUGAAGGCCAUGCUAAGGAGGGUGGACUUUAGAAGUGACGUGUUUAGAGUCUCAAACUUGAGCUACCGAUUUCAUUCCAAGUUAAGAGCAAAAGACUUUGGCUGCAUUUCCAAGUCCACCACGAUCUGUUUCCAACCAUACUGCCUCCUUCCUCCAAACCGGGUUGUGCUAUGUGUACAUGCCCAGUUUUUAGCAGACUGCUGGACACGUAAUAGAUGCCCAAGGAGUGUUUAAGCUUAUUACUUUAUCUAAAUAUUUCCCUGAUCAAUAGAAUAACAUGACAGCCAUGCACAUCUCAUACGGAGCAAUUUAGGUAGCACAGACCAAUUGAUUUAUUUUUCUGUAGCAGUGGCUUCAUGUCCACAACUAGGCUGUGAGCCCCAGGAAGCAAGGAGGGUUUCAUGCUUUUCUAGACUCCCAAGAGUAUAGUCUGCAGACUCCACGGACAGAAAUACUGAGGGUGCUUUAAAGGCAGACACCUGGUCCCCACCCAAGGUCUGAUGCCUCAGAUUCCCUGGCAAUGAAGCCUGAGCUGCAUCCAGCUCCUCACGUGACUAAGGACCACUGGCCUAGCACACUGGCCGGCAUAACAGGAGAUGGAUGAACAUGAGAUUUACAAACAGAGCUAUACACCAUUCUACCACUUCUAAAAAAUACAACACCCAUUCUUUCAGCUGGCCAAAAUAACAAUCAUCCUGACAUUCACUGCAAUCUUAAUGAAAAUUUAUUGGAAGUGAUGGUUUUAAAGUUUUCUACAGUUGGAGACGAAUUCCUAAAUGUCUGAGCCCUCUUGAUCCUACUAAGUCUCUUGUCUUCAACUGAGAAUUCUUAGGAUUUUUUCCAUAUGAAUCUCAAAGAAUCAACAUUCAGCCAAGUUCUUUUCUAAGAGUUCUUAGAGCAGAAUUAUUUACAUUUGUAUCCAAAACUUCCCCAUGGUCCUUCUCAGAAGACACUUCUGAGUUUGGACCUAAGCAACAGAUUGCAGCUUGAGAAAAUGACAAAAAUUACUAAAGUGUAUUUAACGUUCCCAAUAAAUAAUCCACUAAGGAUGAAAAUAUAGAGUGAGUAUAAAACAAGCCACUUUUCUUCAAGUGUGCUGGAAUCUAUUACCAGAUUUCAAAGGAUCUUUUGAUAGUAAAGAGAGUUUCACAGAUUUUAGCUUAAUUUCAGGUAUGUGAGAAGUUCACAAGGAAUACAGAAAUAGCUCCAAAUUAUUUGGGAAAAGGCCAUUUUUUUCUACAGUUUACUAUUAGCUUUAUCCCUUUCCUUAAUAUUGUCUAAGAAGAAACACAGCGAUUAGAAUAGAAAAUGGUCACUUUCUAUCACCUAGAACUGCAGUGCCUUCCCUAGCAACACACCCAUCUUCCUGGCACUUAAAUACCACCAGUGCUCCAAACUGUCCAGCUAAGGAUGAGCCCAAAAGGCCAAGAUUAUGAUGCUACUCACCUACCUUAAGGAGUCCAAGAACUAAUGAAGGAUAAGGUAUCGAGAAAGAAGAUACUGCAAUGAUGGAUUCGCAUGUCUAUUUUUGCAAGAGAUUGUGAACAUUUGGAGAGAAGGGACCACUUGUGAAUAUAUGCGAAUAUCUGUAUUCACAUGGUGACAGGCACAAAGUAGGAAUGCAACAGUUGAUGAGUACUAAGGAAUAAAUGUCACUAGCUGACCAUCGAGAGUCAAAACACUAGACAGGCAUUCAUUUUUGUAGUCAAAUAGACUGUUUUAAAAAUCUAACUAAAACAAAUUAAAAGUAAAUUCAGUCUCAUAUAAAAA